UACACCAUAAAGUGAGAUCAUAGUGAGUUGCAGACAACAUUAAUGGUUUGCAAUGUGAGUGUUUGGAAGCUGUUUAUGACUGUUGGGCAUAGGGAGAGGCCCUGUUGCUGUCACCAUUUUCUGUAACUGUAUCUUACUUCGCCAGGCUGCUGAAAUGUGCUUACUGCUUCGAAAAACUGGCCCCUCCACCCCUCUCUGCCCUUCAUCUGAUAGGAACUUCCCUGUGACUUUUGGUUUGUGCUUCACAAACAAAUUCUGCUGUUAAUAUGUGAAUCUGUUUGAAAAGCGAAUACGAGAGACCUCACACUGUAGCUGCCACCCAUUUGCAGUCGGCUGCUCAGGACUCAUCGCAGAAGUUAAGUGUGAAUACAUCACCAUCAGCUGUUGUAUGGCCUCCAUCUUGUGUGUGGCUCGGCCAAAACCACAAAGUAAAUACUUCACCCAAGCCACACUCUAGAUGGAACUGACUGGAAUUGCUUUGCAUGGCUAUAAUGUUUAUUUUAUUAAAUGGGUUUGUUGCCACAGCUUCAACAUGACAGGAAUUUUCUUGAUAUACUUCUCCAAUUCCAAGACAAGAUUGUGUUUGUUUGUUUGUGUAUUGGAAGAUAAAUAAAUAAAAAUCACUUAAACAACAUUUG